rnacentral:rRNA from 1 species
UACAGAGGUGGCAAGCGUUGUUCGGAAUUACUGGGCGUAAAGCGCGUGUAGGCGGCUCUUCAAGUCAGGCGUGAAAGCCCCGGGCUCAACUCGGGAACUGCGCUUGAUACUGUCGAGCUAGAGUGUGGAAGGGGCGAUUGGAAUUCCGUGUGUAGCGGUGAAAUGCGUAGAUAUCAUUUGGAACGCCAAUGGUGAAAACAGGUUGCUGGGAGUGUGCUGACGCUGAGACACGAAAGCCAGGGGAGCGAACGGG